AUUGAACGCUGGCGGCAUGCUUUACACAUGCAAGUCGAACGGUAGAGGGGGCAACCCCUUGAGAGUGGCGAACGGGUGAGUAAUGCAUCGGAACGUGCCCAGUAGUGGGGGAUAGCCCGGCGAAAGCCGGAUUAAUACCGCAUACGACCUUAGGGUGAAAGCGGGGGAUCGCAAGACCUCGCGCUAUUGGAGCGGCCGAUGUCAGAUUAGGUAGUUGGUGGGGUAAAGGCCUACCAAGCCGACGAUCUGUAGCUGGUCUGAGAGGACGACCAGCCACACUGGGACUGAGACACGGCCCAGACUCCUACGGGAGGCAGCAGUGGGGAAUUUUGGACAAUGGGCGCAAGCCUGAUCCAGCCAUGCCGCGUGCGGGAAGAAGGCCUUCGGGUUGUAAACCGCUUUUGUCAGGGAAGAAAUCUUCUGGGCUAAUACCCUGGGAGGAUGACGGUACCUGAAGAAUAAGCACCGGCUAACUACGUGCCAGCAGCCGCGGUAAUACGUAGGGUGCAAGCGUUAAUCGGAAUUACUGGGCGUAAAGCGUGCGCAGGCGGUCUUGUAAGACAGAGGUGAAAUCCCCGGGC
rnacentral:rRNA from 1 species